CGGGAUUGGCCUCAGUAGCGGCGAGUGAAGCGGCAAAAGCUCAAAUUUGAAAUCUGGCGUCUUUGGCGUCCGAGUUGUAAUUUGAAGAAGGUAUCUUUGGGCCCGGCUCUUGUCUAUGUUCCUUGGAACAGGACGUCACAGAGGGUGAGAAUCCCGUGCGAUGAGAUGACCCGGGUCUGUGUAAAGUUCCUUCGACGAGUCGAGUUGUUUGGGAAUGCAGCUCUAAGUGGGUGGUAAAUUCCAUCUAAAGCUAAAUAUUGGCGAGAGACCGAUAGCGAACAAGUACAGUGAUGGAAAGAUGAAAAGAACUUUGAAAAGAGAGUGAAAAAGUACGUGAAAUUGUUGAAAGGGAAGGGCUUGAGAUCAGACUUGGUAUUUUGCAUGUUGCUCUCUCGGGGGCGGCCGCUGCGGUUUACCGGGCCAGCAUCGGUUUGGAGCGGCAGGAUAAUGGCGGAGGAAUGUGGCACGGCUUCUGCUGUGUGUUAUAGCCUCUGACGAUGCUGCCAGCCUAGACCGAGGACUGCGGUUUUUAACCUAGGAUGUUGGCAUAAUGAUCUUAAGUCGCCCGUCUUGAAACACGGACCA
rnacentral:rRNA from 1 species